GAAUCUUUUCACAAAAGAUUUUAUCCGAUAAUUCUUCAUCAGACAAUUUCGGAUUUGAAUGC
rfam:Vaccinia virus Copenhagen, complete genome.